ACCUCGGGGUCGAGUGGUGAAGUGAAGUGGUGAUGUCCUCUACUCGACCUGGUGGUCGAGUGGUCUCUUGAGAUCUUGAAGCUCCUACUCGACCUCUGGGUCGAGUGGUUUGUCAUGAUCAGGUGCGCUUCCAGAUAGCUCGUCAACAGCUCCAAAUCACCUGAAAUCAACGCAAAUAUGCAACAUGCAUGCAAAACUAUCCUAAACAUGCAAAGUGAUGACAAAUGAUUU
rnacentral:sRNA from 1 species